GGAGAGGUGGCCGAGCGGCUGAAGGCGCACGCUUGGAAAGCGUGUUUACUUUAAACGGUAACGAGGGUUCGAAUCCCUCCCUCUCCG
rnacentral:tRNA from 1 species